GAGCCUAUAUGUUCUGCCAAACAUGCUACCAAAAUUUUAAAUAUACACCAGACAGACAUUUAGGACAAUGUAUAUAUCUGAGUCGAAACUGAAUCACUCAGUAACUUAUCGAUAGCUAGUUUAUAUGAUGAUAUUCUCUUCAACACCUUCGCGCAAAAGAAAUUCCGUGGAUUGGCCUUCAAAGACACUGGAUUGCAUAUUCUUUAAUAGUGUAUACUUCACCAACCACUCAAUUGCUUAUGGACCUUUGAGUUCUGUGAGGAUUUCCCACCUUUGUCUUUGUAUGUAUUCCUCGAGGCAAAGUUCCUCUUGCCCCGAUGGGCAGCCUGGAUAGCCUUCUUCCUUUGCUUGCUCAGGCUUUUCUCUAGUUCAGGAUCAUCUUCAGACUCGGCCUCUUCCUCUUCCUCGGGAUCAUUUUCAUCCCCAACUUGAUGGUUAUCGUCGUGCUUAUCAUCCCCAGUUUGAUGAUUAACGUCUUCCUUCGCCAAGUCCAAGGAUUCGAGCUGCUUGACGUUUGUGUUGUUAAUGUCUUCUUCAUCUUCUUCAUCAGCAGUUCCUUCAUCGUCAGAAUCUGAAUGAUUUUCAAGUUCUCCCUCAAUCAACUUUUCAAGCUCAUCUUGAUCCUUUCUCGUAAAACCACUGGCAGCAAGUUCUUUGUCCAAGAAACCGCUGUUCUUGUUUAUUUCAGAAAAUUGGGGGCGACCAACUUCAUUUAUGUCAACCUCCAAACCAUCAGAAUCAUUUUCAUUUUCAUCAAAGGACAUAUUGUACCGCUUUGCAAAGAACUUAUAGAUGCACUCCACAUCACGAUCAAAGUACAUCUGAG
rnacentral:misc_RNA from 1 species